rnacentral:tRNA from 1 species
GCACCAGUGGUCUAAUGGCAAGACCUGGGCCUUCCAAGCCCAUGAUCCGAGUUCGAUUCUCGGCUGGUGCA